UCCGAAUCCGAUCCCCCUCUAAUCGACCGUUGGUUCCCGCCAUGAAUGUCCUCAUCCACUCCGCUACCUCUCGAUUCCCUAAUCCUCGUCUCCACCGCCCAUUACGUACAUCUCUCCGCCAAUGCGUCUUCUCCGUUAGGUCAAGUUUUAAUCUUCCUUUUCAAGAGCAGAAAGCGAAGUACUAUGAACAUCUGCAAGCAGCCGUUGGUGUUGUCGAGCGCGCCUGCCGUCUUUGUGUUGAUGUGCAAAAAUCAUUGUUUUCAAGCGAUGGAAAGAUCAUCGAGAAAAUGGAUAAGACACCGGUCACCGUUGCAGAUUUUGGAGCUCAAGCUCUUAUUAGCCUGGAGAUGAGCAAACUCUUUCCUUCUAUUCCAUUGGUAGCUGAGGAGGACUCAGCAUUUGUACGAGAAAAUAAUUUGGUGGAUGCUGUCGUUGAGGUCGUUAGUGAUAAAGCAACUAUUGGAGAUAAAGAAUUAAGUCAAGAUGAUGUUUUGAAGGCUAUUGAUAGAGGUGGAAAAGAUGCCUAUGUGUUUGGACCUGAGCCAGCUACUUAUUGGAUAUUGGAUCCAAUUGAUGGUACACGAGGAUUUGUCAAAGGUAGUGAAGCUCUCUAUGUGGUAGGUCUGGCUCUAAUAGUUGAAGGAGAGAUUGUUUUGGGUGUUAUGGGAUGUCCGAAUUGGCAGGAUGAGCAUUUAGAUGAAUUUAACAAAGUUCAGGGAGAUGCAGGUACUGUUUCCAGAUCAGGGAUCAUUAUGAUAUCCCAUGUUGGUUGUGGAACAUGGAGAACAAAAUUGUGGGAUCUACAAAUUGGAAAUAACAAAAUGGAUCAUAAUUGGACGAGGUGCUUAGUUGACGGGUUUCACCUAGUUGAUCAAGCGCGUUAUUGUAUUCCAGAGAGUCAAACAUGGGAGUCUUUGCCCCUUUCAACUCAAUUUGAUGCGGUAACAAAUGCUAACAGUGUUGGGGAGAAACAGAUUCUUCUUCUGCCUGCUUGCUGUGGAAGGUUCACUUCAAUUAAGAUACUUGUGCAUUCUCUUACUGUUCCUUAAAUCUGACUGGGCCUGAUGAAGAAAAUUUAUCGUAUUAAGAGCAUAAAGAGUAUGUGUAAAGAUUGAUCAGAGAAACAGAUUUCUGGACCGAAAUCCUGGACAUUAAAUUCAUUAUCAUUAUUCUUGGACUAAGUAUAUUCAAUUGUGUCACGUUACCCCACUAGCAUCCAACAUUUUGUAUUACUAGCUUCCUUGUUUUUUUCAUAAUCUUUGCGGCUUAGUUGCUGUGUAAUGACCUUUCAAAGGAAUGAUGCUGCAUUUGUUCCCCAAUAGCAGGCUUCCUUACAGUGAACCAUGUUUAUGACAUCUUUCUAUUCUUUGGUUUCCUAAAAUACUUGCUUAGAAUCAUGCAUUAAAUGGAUUGAAGGUGUCAGAGAACUAGAAUCACCUUCCAUUCAUCAUGUCAAUCUGUUAGCAUGUAUGAAGUUAUGCAAAUGCUAAGUAGAUAUACAUUCCCUGAGAUGACUUUUAGUCCAGUUCAAAUUUCUAGUUAAUUUAACAUCAUUCAUCCAAUAGAAUCAUCGCUUUGUAACCUUGAACAACUAGCAUGGCGUGAAGAACUGUAUAGGCCACAGAAAGAGAGAUUUAUUCCUAUCCACAUGCAAGUUGUUUAGUGAUACUCUAGUUGUUAUUUUGCCAAUUCACCAUCUUGUUCCUGGGUGCUUUGGGUGUAAUACACUUUAGCUGUGUGCAUUUGCUCUUUUUUUUCUUAUGUCUGCCGCCUGUACAGUCUCUGUAAAUAUCUGAUGGUGGCAUCUGGAAGAGCAUCCGUUUUCAUUGUUCGUGCAAGGACUAAAACAAUUAUCAAGGUUUGGGAUCAUGCUGUUGGAGUCAUAUGUAUUAGUGAAGCUGGAGGAAGGGUAACUGACUGGAAGGGUA